GCAGUGGUGGUUCAGUGGUAGAACUCUCACCUUCCACGUGGGAGACGCUGGUUCAAUUCCAGCCAAUGCA
rnacentral:tRNA from 1 species